UCUUCUCCUUUUUCUUCCUUUCUUCUCCUUUUUCUUCCUUUCUUCUCCUUUUUCUUACUUUCUUAUCCUUUUUCUUCCUUUCUUCUCCUUUUUCUUCCUUUCUUCCCUUUUUCUUAUUUUCUUCUCCUUUUUCUUAUUUUCUUCUCCUUUUUCUUAUUUUCUUCUCCUUUUUCUUCUUUUCUUCUACUGUCCGGAGUGUUAGGGAG
rnacentral:lncRNA from 1 species